rnacentral:rRNA from 1 species
UCGCCUGUUUAUCAAAAACAUGUCUUUAUGUGUUAAUUUAUGUAAAGUCUGGCCUGCCCAAUGAUGAAAAUUUAAUGGCCGCGGUAUAUUGACCGUGCGAAGGUAGCAUAAUAAUUUGUCUUUUAAUUGAGGACUAGUAUAAAUGGUCGAACAAAAAGUUAGCUGUCUCUGAGUCAUAUCUUGAAUUUAACAUUUAAGUGAAAAGGCUUAAAUAAUUUAAGGGGACGAUAAGACCCUAUAAAUCUUUAUAUUAAUUUAUUGUUAAGCUGGAAAAUAGAAUUAAUUCGUGGGGUAACAAUUUUAAAUAUUUUGUUGGGGAGACAGAAGUAUAAAAGAAUAACUACUUUGGAUAAAGAGUUAAUGAUAUUUAAUGUAGAGACCCUUUCCUAAGGGUUAUAGAACAAGUUACUUUAGGGAUAACAGCGUAAUUUCUUUUGAGAGUCCAUAUCGAAAAAGAAGCUUGCGACCUCGAUGUUGAAUUAAAGACCCUAUAAUAACGCAGAAGUUAUAAAAGGAGGUCUGUUCGACCUUUAAAUCUUUACGUGAUCUGAUUUCAGACCGGA